CGACGGGCCGGGCGAGCAGCGGGGCUGGGGCGCGGGGUGAGGAGGCGGCUGAGGCGCGCAGGGCGUCCCGGCCCGGUGCCGGUGCUGCAGGGGGCGGGUGCCGCGGCGCCGCCGCGGAGCGCAGGUGCCGGCAGCAGUCUGCUGCCGGCGGGGCACGGGUCAGGCCUGCGGAGGACCCCGGCGGCAGGCAGGGUGCCCGGCGGGGUUGAGACUCAACCGCCUCUAUGUGAUUUCAUGUAGUGGUUAGACACCGAGCAAUCUCAGGAGGACAAGGACCAUGUUGAGCGUCAAGCAAGGUGGGCUGCGGAAAGGUGGCAGCGAAUGAGGCAUGAGGAACAGAUGGAGGAGAAGCGGAAGAAAGACCAGGAAGAAAUCCAGAGGAGGAUUGAAGAAGUGGAACGUCAAGAGGCUGAGGAACGUGAGGCUGACAGGGAGAGGAAGCGAGAGAGGGCUCGCCGUACUAAGGAAGCAGGGCCCAAAGCUAUUAGGAAGGGGAAAUAUCCCCGGUGCACUCAGUGAAGCACCAUCAUGUAAUCCCGACAAUUUGAAUUCCCUAAGGCGUGUUAGGUUUAGUUCGAACAUGAGAUUAUCAUGUUGCACAUGCCACUGCAGUUCGUGGUUUAAGUACUAAGGCCUCUGCGUGAUUUACCGUACUAGUACCAACACAUUAGGACUUUGCUUUGUAAUCCUUAUCAUGACAUUAUUUACAUAAUUAUAAUGCAAACCGGGACUAUGCCCUAUUAUUUUCA